GACGAACGCUGGCGGCGGGCUUAACACAUGCAAGUCGAACGGAAAGGCCCUGCGAUUGUGGGGUGCUCGAUGGGCGAAGGGGGGAGUAACAGGUGUGUAACCUGCCCUUGACUUUGGGAGAAGUUCAGGAAACUGGGGCUAAUAUCGGAUAGGAUCUCCUGCAGCGGGGGGGGGGGGGGAAAGUUUCGGCGGUUGGGGAUGGAUGCGCGGCUUAUGAGCUUGUUAGUUGGGGAGUCGCAUGCCAAGGCUGUGACGGGUAGCCGGCCUGAGAGGGUGACCGGCCACCUUGGGCCUGCGGUACGGACCAGCCUGGUACGGGAGACAGCAGUGGGGAGUCUUGCACAAUCGGCCGACGCCUGAUGCAGCAGCGCCGCGUGCGGGAUGACGGCCUUCGGGUUGUAAACCGCUUUCGCCUGUGACGAAGCGUGAGUGACGGUACUGGGUAAAUAAGCACCGGCUAACUACGUG
rnacentral:rRNA from 1 species